rnacentral:rRNA from 1 species
UUUUGGACAAUGGGGGAAACCCUGAUCCAGCCAUUCCGCGUGUGCGAUGAAGGCCUUCGGGUUGUAAAGCACUUUUGGCCGCCCCCGAAAUCGCACAAAUUAAUACUUUGUGUGGAUGACGGUACCUGCAGAAUAAGCACCGGCUAACUACGUGCCAGCAGCCGCGGUAAUACGUAGGGUGCAAGCGUUAAUCGGAAUUACUGGGCGUAAAGCGUGCGCAGGCGGUUCGGAAAGAGAGGUGUGAAAUCCCAGGGCUUAACCUUGGAACUGCACUUUUAACUCCCGAGCUAGAGUAUGUCAGAGGGGGGUGGAAUUCCGCGUGUAGCAGUGAAAUGCGUAGAUAUGCGGAGGAACACCGAUGGCGAAGGCAGCCCCCUGGGAUAAUACUGACGCUCAUGCACGAAA